GAACGGCAUUUAGCGACGGUAGUGCAACAUCCCGUACUGUGAGAGUGUUGGUUUCAUGAUGGUCUGGAAACUCAAGCGAGCUUGCACCUUUGUGUACGCGUGUUCGGCCAGCACCUGGUUCGGCACAUUCGGAAAUGCGGACCAUGGUGCUCAAGAUGACACAUGCAACGAUAUGCAGCUGUGGACACCAGCAGCUUCAUAAGAACUGUUGAAGCUCAUCUGGACGCUUCACAGAACCUGGGAAGACUGAACACUUUUGGCAAAGCAGCAACAGUUCUGGCCCACCUG
rnacentral:lncRNA from 1 species